AGCGAACGCUGGCGGUAGGCCUAACACAUGCAAGUCGAACGAACCUUUCGGGGUUAGUUGCUGUCGGGUGAGUCACACGUCGGAACGUUCCUUUAGGUUCGGGAUUACUCAUUUUAACUUGUGCUAAUACCGAAUGUGCCCUUCGGGUACAAGAUUAAUCGUCUUUAGAGGGGCCGGCGUCUGUUUAGCUAUUUGGUUGUGGUAAUGGCGCACUAAGGCUACGUUCAUUACCUGGUCUAGGAGGAUGAUCAGACACAUGGGGACUGAGACACGGCCCAAACUACUAGAGAAGGGAGGAGUGGGGAAUCUAGCGCAAUGGGCGAAAGGCUGACGCAGCCAUGCCGCGUGAAUGAUGAAGGUCUGAGGAAUGUAAAAUUCUUUCACCGGGGACGAUAAUGACGGUACCCGGAGAAGAAGCACCGGCUAACUUCGUG
rnacentral:rRNA from 1 species